AUGGCGUCCAAGGCCGUUGCUGAGAUAGUCGAUGACAAGCAAUGCAGUAAAAGCGCCGCCGAGUCCUUCGAGGCCGCGCCUUCCAGGAGGCAGUCCGAGGAGCUAAUUGGGGGAGCAAGCAAAUCGGGGCCUGCCUCACCGAGAGCAGUUCCGCCAGGUGAUGUGGCCACGUCCAGUGGAGUGAAAGAACAAGAUAAGGACUGCAGUUCUGUUGAUGGCUCUGUGAAACUGGACGAAGAUGAAGACGCCGAGAAGAGCUCGCUGCGUGGGAGCGUCAAGGAUAGCUCGGUUUCUGCCAAGUUCAGCGACGGAGCAAGCAGCCUGACAAAGGCGAGCGGCAGCACCAAGGUCAGCGGCCACGCUGAUUUGGUCCAGAGCGGGAAGAGCAGCGUUUACAGGGCUAGCGCCGGCAGUGAUGUCAGUGAUGAUAGCACCUGUAGCAGUAUAUGCAGCAGCGCUAGCAAGCCUCACAAGUCCAAUGAUUCAAGGUGGGAGGCGAUUCAGGUGAUCCGAACCAAAGAAGGUUCGCUAGGAUUGAGUCACUUCAGGCUGCUUAAGAGGCUUGGCUGUGGUGACAUUGGCAGUGUUUACUUAUCAGAGCUUAGUGGCACGAAAUGCUACUUUGCUAUGAAGAUCAUGGACAAGGCAUCUCUAGCUGGCCGCAAAAAGCUUCUUAGAGCACAGACUGAAAGGGAGAUAUUGCAGUGCUUAGACCAUCCUUUUCUUCCGACUUUGUACACCCACUUUGAGACUGAUAAAUUCUCAUGCUUGGUGAUGGAGUUUUGCCCUGGAGGAGACCUUCAUACCCUAAGGCAGAAGCAGCCUGGGAAGUAUUUCCCCGAACAAGCUGCCAAGUUUUAUGUAGCAGAAGUGCUUCUUGCUCUAGAAUACCUGCACAUGCUCGGUAUCAUAUAUCGGGACCUCAAGCCAGAGAAUGUUCUUGUGAGAGAAGAUGGCCACAUCAUGCUGUCAGAUUUCGAUUUGUCCCUUCGUUGUGAUGUGAACCCUACACUUCUUAAAUCUUCCAACCCUGGUGUAGAUCCUAACCAAAAGGGCAAUCAAGCUUAUUGUGUACAACCCGUGUGCAUUGAGCCAGCCUGUAUCCAGCCUGCUUGCGUUACGACAACCACAUGCUUCUCUCCUCGCUUUUUCUCCUCCAAGUCCAAGAGGGAGAAGAAGGAAAAGAAGGCAAAGGCAGACAUGGCAACCCAGGUCAGACCGCUCCCUGAGCUUGUUGCAGAGCCCACAGAUGCAAGGUCUAUGUCAUUCGUAGGCACCCAUGAAUACUUGGCACCUGAGAUCAUAAAGGGUGAGGGACAUGGGAGUGCUGUGGACUGGUGGACUUUUGGCAUAUUCUUGUAUGAACUUCUUUUCGGCAAGACUCCAUUCAAAGGUUCAGGGAACAGGGCAACGCUAUUCAAUGUUGUUGGCCAGCCCCUCAGGUUCCCAGAAUCACCUGUUGUGGGUUUUGCUGCAAGGGAUCUCAUAAGGGGGUUGCUGAUCAAGGAGCCGCAGCAUCGAUUGGCGUACAAACGUGGAGCUACAGAAAUAAAGCAGCACCCGUUCUUUGAAGGUGUUAACUGGGCAUUGAUAAGGUGCGCUACUCCUCCAGAUAUCCCCAAGCCAGUUGAAAUCCCUCGGCCAGGAGCCUCGACAAGUCAGAAGGCAACACCGUCAGCCGAGAAAGGUCCAGACAAUUAUCUUGAAUUUGAUUUCUUUUAG
rnacentral:rRNA from 1 species